GCACCCCUACAACUGUAAUUUCCAUUAGUGGUACACUAGAAUGUAAUUCAAUUCGGCAGGAACCAGUGGUCUUAAAUGCUCACACUAUACAAAAGCUUUGUUCUGUUUCAGAUGUAUUUUGAUAGGUGGCCAGACAGCAUAGAUUAGAUCCCGGGUCAGAUCUUGUCCCUGUCAACUCAGUCGUUGUGUGACCUCAGCUGGGGGCUGACCCUCUCUGGGCCUCAGAUGUGAUAUGGGAAGCACAGCAUCUACCUCAGUGGUGUUGUGAGACUCAGUGGCCAUACUGAUGGUCAAUGGCUCUGUCUGUCUGCGUAUCUAUCUAUCAUCUGUGUAUUUGAAAGAGGGCUUCACCUACCUCCAUUUUGACCUCAGUCUAUUCUUCUAAGUUCUUCCUUCCAGCUUAUCUUUGCUGAUUCAAAAUGAACAAAACUUUUAGAAUUGCUAAAAGAAGGAAAGAGAGUUUUCUUUGAGCCCAAGUUGGGACGGCUGUCCGGGAACCAUGCUCUUUACGGGGAAGAAAGUGCUCCGGAGAAUGAACACAUCUUACAGAGACUUUUAGAGCGCUUUUCUCUCGUCAUUUCUUAACUCGGGCAAAGGACCCAGCGGGCAAAGCAUCCCUUGAUGGAAACCGAAAUUACCCCCUCAAGCCACAGGGAACUGCCCUGAGCCUGCAAGCCCCCACGUGAUUGACCUCAAGAUAAUGAUCCACCUGACCUUGGCUGUCCAGCUGCAUGUACCCACCGACCCUUGUUCCACAUUUCCCUUGUAUAAACCUGGAAGUGUUUUCGGUACUUCGGAGACAACCCCUGAGAUGUUAGUCAGCUGUCUUCCCAGUGUUGGCGUCCCUGACAUAAAUUCCUUUCUGUGUCGCCACCAAA